rnacentral:rRNA from 1 species
CCUACGGGGUGCAGCAGUGAGGAAUAUUGGUCAAUGGCCGGAAGGCUGAACCAGCCAUGCCGCGUGAAGGUCAGUGCCCUAUGGGCGUUAAACUUCUUUUGUGCGGGAGCAAUAAUGGUCACGUGUGGCCAGACGAGAGUACCGUACGAAUAAGCAUCGGCUAACUCCGUGCCAGCAGCCGCGGUAAUACGGGGGAUGCAUGCGUUAUCCGGAUUUAUUGGGUUUAAAGGGUGCGUAGGCUGUGAGGUAAGUCAGCGGUGAAAUGCCCCCGCUCAACGGGGUGAAGUGCCAUUGAUACUGCCUGGCUGGAAUGCGGAUGCCGUGGGAGGAAUGCGUGGUGUAGCGGUGAAAUACAUAGAUAUCACACAGAACACCGAUUGCGAAGGCAUCUCACGAAUCCGCGAUUGACGCUGAUGCACGAAAGCGUGGGUAUCAAACAGGAUUAGAUACCCGGGUAGUC